AACGCGAAGAACCUUACCUGGUCUUGACAUAGUAAGAACUUUCCAGAGAUGGAUUGGUGCCUUCGGGAACUUACAUACAGGUGCUGCAUGGCUGUCGUCAGCUCGUGUCGUGAGAUGUUGGGUUAAGUCCCGCAACGAGCGCAACCCUUUUCCUUAUUUGCCAGCGGGUUAAGCCGGGAACUUUAAGGAUACUGCCAGUGACAAACUGGAGGAAGGCGGGGACGACGUCAAGUCAUCAUGGCCCUUACGACCAGGGCUACACACGUGCUACAAUGGUCGGUACAAAGGGUUGCUACCUAGCGAUAGGAUGCUAAUCUCAAAAAGCCGAUCGUAGUCCGGAUUGGAGUCUGCAACUCGACUCCAUGAAUGUCGGCAAUCGCUAGUAAUCG
rnacentral:rRNA from 1 species